rnacentral:rRNA from 1 species
UGGGGAAUAUUGCACAAUGGGCGCAAGCCUGAUGCAGCCAUGCCGCGUGUAUGAAGAAGGCCUUCGGGUUGUAAAGUACUUUCAGCGGGGAGGAAGGGAGUAAAGUUAAUACCUUUGCUCAUUGACGUUACCCGCAGAAGAAGCACCGGCUAACUCCGUGCCAGCAGCCGCGGUAAUACGGAGGGUGCAAGCGUUAAUCGGAAUUACUGGGCGUAAAGCGCACGCAGGCGGUUUGUUAAGUCAGAUGUGAAAUCCUCGGGCUCAACCUGGGAACUGCAUCUGAUACUGGCAAGCUUGAGUCUCGUAGAGGGGGGUAGAAUUCCAGGUGUAGCGGUGAAAUGCGUAGAGAUCUGGAGGAAUACCGGUGGCGAAGGCGGCCCCCUGGACGAAGACUGACGCUCAGGUGCGAGAGCGUGGGGAGCAAACAGG